rnacentral:misc_RNA from 1 species
GAUGAAGAACGUAGCGAAAUGCGAUAAGUAGUGUGAAUUGCAGAAUUCAGUGAAUCAUCGAAUCUUUGAACGCACAUUGCGCCCCAUGGUAUUCCGUGGGGCAUGCCUGUUCGAGCGUCAUUUACCCCCUCAAGCUCCGCUUGGUGUUGGGCGUCUGUCCCGCUUCGCGCGCGGACUCGCCCCAAAGGUAUUGGCAGCGGUCGUGCCAGCUUCUCGCGCAGCACAUUGCGCUUCUCGAGGCACCGGUGGGCCCGCGUCCAUCAAGCUCACCCCCCAGUUUGACCUCGGAUCAGGUAGGGAUACCCGCUUAAUUUAAGCAUAUCAAUAAGCGGAGGA